rnacentral:rRNA from 1 species
AACGAACGCUGGCGGCAUGCCUAACACGUGCAAGUCGAACGCUCACUUGGGUUUCGACCCUUGUGGGAGUGGCGCACGGGUGAGUAGCGCGUGGGAACCUGCCCUGUUGUGGGGAUAACCGAGGGAAACUUCGGCUAAUACCGCAUACGCCCCGGGGCAACUCGGGGGAAAGAUUUAUCGCCGCAGGAGGGGCCCGCGUCGGAUUAGCUGGUUGGUGGGGUAACGGCCUACCAAGGCGAUGAUCCGUAGCUGGUCUGAGAGGAUGACCAGCCACGCUGGGACUGAGACAGGACCCAGACUCCUACGGGAGGCAGCAGUGGGGAAUAUUGGACAAUGGGGGCAACCCUGAUCCAGCAAUGCCGCGUGAGUGAUGAAGGCCUUCGGGUUGUAAAGCUCUUUCGCCCGCGACGAUGAUGACGGUAGCGGGAGAAGAAGCCCCGGCUAACUUCGUGCCAGCAGCCGCCGUAA